GACGAACGCUGGCGGCGUGCCUAAUACAUGCAAGUCGAACGCUUUUUCUUUCACCGGAGCUUGCUCCAUCGAAAGAAAAAGAGUGGCGAACGGGUGAGUAACACGUGGGUAACCUGCCCAUCAGAAGGGGAUAACACUUGGAAACAGGUGCUAAUACCGUAUAAUAGUGAUCUUCGCAUGAAGACUACUUGAAAGGCGCUUUUGCGUCACUGAUGGAUGGACCCGCGGUGCAUUAGCUAGUUGGUGAGGUAAUGGCUCACCAAGGCGACGAUGCAUAGCCGACCUGAGAGGGUGAUCGGCCACACUGGGACUGAGACACGGCCCAGACUCCUACGGGAGGCAGCAGUAGGGAAUCUUCGGCAAUGGACGAAAGUCUGACCGAGCAACGCCGCGUGAGUGAAGAAGGUUUUCGGAUCGUAAAACUCUGUUGUUAGAGAAGAACAGGGAUGAGAGUAAAACGUUCAUCCUAUGACGGUAUCUAACCAGAAAGCCACGGCUAACUACGUGCCAGCAGCCGCGGUAAUACGUAGGUGGCAAGCGUUGUCCGGAUUUAUUGGGCGUAAAGCGAGCGCAGGCGGUUUCUUAAGUCUGAUGUGAAAGCCCCCGGCUCAACCGGGGAGGGUCAUUGGAAACUGGGAGACUUGAGUGCAGAAGAGGAGAGUGGAAUUCCAUGUGUAGCGGUGAAGUGCGUAGAUAUAUGGAGGAACACCAGUGGCGAAGGCGGCUCUCUGGUCUGUAACUGACGC
rnacentral:rRNA from 1 species